AGCGAACGCUGGCGGCAGGCUUAACACAUGCAAGUCGAACGGGCACUUCGGUGCUAGUGGCAGACGGGUGAGUAACACGUGGGAACGUACCCUUUGGUUCGGGACAACUCUGGGAAACUGGAGCUAAUACCGGAUACGCCCUUUUGGGGAAAGGUUUACUGCCGAAGGAUCGGCCCGCGUCUGAUUAGCUAGUUGGUGGGGUAACGGCCUACCAAGGCGACGAUCAGUAGCUGGUCUGAGAGGAUGAUCAGCCACACUGGGACUGAGACACGGCCCAGACUCCUACGGGAGGCAGCAGUGGGGAAUAUUGGACAAUGGGCGCAAGCCUGAUCCAGCCAUGCCGCGUGAGUGAUGAAGGCCUUAGGGUUGUAAAGCUCUUUUAUCCGGGACGAUAAUGACGGUACCGGAGGAAUAAGCCCCGGCUAACUUCGUGCCAGCCGCCGCGGUAACAC
rnacentral:rRNA from 1 species